AGAGUUUGAUCAUGGCUCAGGAUGAACGCUGGCGGUAUGCCUAACACAUGCAAGUCGAACGAUGUCUUCGGACAUAGUGGCGGACGGGUGAGUAACGCGUGAGAAUCUGCCUCUAGGAUGGGGAUAACGGUUGGAAACGACCGCUAACACCCAAUAUGCCGUAAGGUGAAAAAUUUAUUGCCUGGAGAGGAGCUCGCGUCUGAUUAGCUAGUUGGUGGGGUAAGAGCUCACCAAGGCUUCGAUCAGUAGCUGGUCUGAGAGGAUGAGCAGCCACACUGGGACUGAGACACGGCCCAGACUCCUACGGGAGGCAGCAGUGGGGAAUUUUCCGCAAUGGGCGAAAGCCUGACGGAGCAAUACCGCGUGAGGGAGGAAUGCCUUUGGGUUGUAAACCUCUUUUCUCAGGGAAGAAGAUCUGACGGUACCUGAGGAAUAAGUAUCGGCUAACUCCGUGCCAGCAGCCGCGGUAAUACGGAGGAUGCAAGCGUUAUCCGGAAUCAUUGGGCGUAAAGCGUCCGCAGGUGGUUUCCAAAGUCUGCUGUUAAAGACUGGAGCUCAACUCCGGAACGGCGGUGGAAACUUGGAAACUAGAGUUCGGUAGGGGUAGCAGGAAUUCCCAGUGUAGCGGUGAAAUGCGUAGAUAUUGGGAAGAACAUCGGUGGCGAAGGCGUGCUACUGGACCGUAACUGACACUCAGGGACGAAAGCUAGGGGAGCGAAAGGGAUUAGAUACCCCUGUAGUCCUAGCUGUAAACGAUGGAAACUAGGUGUGGCUUGUAUCGACCCGAGCCGUGCCGUANCUAACGCGUUAAGUUUCCCGCCUGGGGAGUACGCACGCAAGUGUGAAACUCAAAGGAA
rnacentral:rRNA from 1 species